rnacentral:rRNA from 1 species
CGCUGAUAGAUAGGCAUGCGUUCCAUUAGGCAGUUGGCGGGGUAACGGCCCACCAAACCGACGAUGGAUAGGGGUUCUGAGAGGAAGGUCCCCCACAUUGGUACUGAGACACGGACCAAACUCCUACGGGAGGCAGCAGUGAGGAAUAUUGGUCAAUGGGCGUAAGCCUGAACCAGCCAAGUCGCGUGAGGGAUGAAGGUUCUAUGGAUCGUAAACCUCUUUUAUAAGGGAAUAAAGUGUGGGACGUGUCCUAUUUUGUAUGUACCUUAUGAAUAAGGAUCGGCUAACUCCGUGCCAGCAGCCGCGGUAAUACGGAGGAUCCGAGCGUUAUCCGGAUUUAUUGGGUUUAAAGGGUGCGUAGGCGGCCUUUUAAGUCAGCGGUGAAAGUCUGUGGCUCAACCAUAGAAUUGCCGUUGAAACUGGGAGGCUUGAGUAUGUUUGAGGCAGGCGGAAUGCGUGGUGUAGCGGUGAAAUGCUUAGAUAUCACGCAGAACCCCGAUUGCGAAGGCAGCCUGCCAAGCCAUGACUGACGCUGAUGCACGAAAGCGUGGGGAUCAAACAGGAUUAGAUACCCUGGUAGUCCACGCAGUAAACGAUGAUCACUAGCUGUUUGCGAUACAGUGUAA